UAAAAAUUUUUGUAGUUUGGAAAAUUUAUUUAAAGUUUAUUUUACAUAUAAAUUUUAGUGUUAAAUUAUAAUUAUUUUAAUAAUAUUUAUUUAUGAUAUUUAGUAAUUAAUAUUAAAUAUUUAAGAAAUUAAUAUUUAGUAAUAUUUAAAUUAAUAACAAAUUUUGUGCCAGCAGUUGCGGUUAAACAAAGAUUAAAUUAAAUUUUAUUAGUUAAAUUAAUUAAUAAAUUUAAAUAUAAUAUAAAUUUUAAAUUAUUAGGUGAAAUUUUAAUUUAAUAAAAUAUUAUAAUGUUUUUAUGAUUUAAUAAAUUUUUAUAAAAACUAGGAUUAGAUACCCUAUUAUUAAAAUUUUAAAUUAUGAUACUAAAAUAGUAAUUAAUUAUUUAUUGAAACUUAAACAAUUUGGCGGUAUUUUAGUUCAUUUAGAGGAAUCUGUUUAAUAAUUGAUAAUCCACGAAUAAAUUUACUUAAUUUACAAUUUUGUAUAUCGUUGUUAAAAAAAUAUUUUUUAAUAAAAAUAAUAUUUAAAAAUUUUAAAUAAAAUUAAAUCAGAUCAAGAUGCAGAUUAUAAUUAAGAAUAUAAUGGAUUACAAUAAAUUUAUUUAAAUGAAUAUUAAUUUGUAAAAAUUAAUUGAAAUUGGAUUUAAAUGUAAUUUUAUUUAAUUUAAUAAAAUGAUUAUUAAUUGAAAUAUGUACAUAUUGCCCGUCGCUUUCAUAUAAAAAAUUGAAAUAAGUCGUAACAAAGUAGAGGUACUGGAAAGUGUUUCUAGAAAGAC
rnacentral:ncRNA from 1 species